UACGUAGGGGGCAAGCGUUGUCCGGAUUUAUUGGGCGUAAAGAGCGUGUAGGCGGCUUGGUAGGUCCGCUGUGAAAACUCGAGGCUCAACCUCGAGAUGUCGGCGGAAACCACUUGGCUAGAGUCCGGAAGAGGAGAGUGGAAUUCCUGGUGUAGCGGUGAAAUGCGCAGAUAUCAGGAAGAACACCUAUGGCGAAGGCAGCUCUCUGGGACGGUACUGACGCUGAGACGCGAAAGCAUGGGGAGCGAACAGG
rnacentral:rRNA from 1 species